rnacentral:rRNA from 1 species
UACGUAGGGUGCAAGCGUUGUCCGGAUUUAUUGGGCGUAAAGAGCUCGUAGGCGGUUUGGCAAGUCGGGUGUGAAACCUCCAGGCUCAACCUGGAGUCGCCAUCCGAUACUGCUAUGACUUGAGUCUGGUAGGGGAUCACGGAAUUCCCGGUGUAGCGGUGAAAUGCGCAGAUAUCGGGAAGAACACCCGUGGCGAAGGCGGCUCUCUGGAACGCAACUGACGCUGAGACGCGAAAGCGUGGGGAGCAAACAGG